UACGUAGGUGACAAGCGUUGUCCGGAUUUACUGGGCGUAAAGAGCGCGCAGGCGGUCGAUCAAGUCGAGUGUGAAAGCCCCCCGGCUCAACUGGGGAGGGUCAUUCGAUACUGAUCGACUCGAAGGCAGGAGAGGGUAGUGGAAUUCCCGGUGUAGUGGUGAAAUGCGUAGAUAUCGGGAGGAACACCAGUGGCGAAGGCGGGUCUCUGGACAGUUCCUGACGCUGAGGCACGAAGGUCAGGGGAGCAAACGGG
rnacentral:rRNA from 1 species